GGACUCCUUUCCCUUGGAGGAGCCUUCUUAUGACUGAGCAUGACGGCCAAGGUACGUGUAUAUUAGUUAGAAUUAAAUUUUUUCUUUUAUUUCUAGUUUUCUUCUUAUUUUGUAGGUCUUCUUCUUUUUGAAAAUCAACAGCUCAAGGUAUUCUUCUUCUCUCUAUUAUUUUCUCUAUUGUCUCUCAUAUAUAGUUUUCUUGCAUUUUUUUUACAUUGAGGACAAUGCAAUGUUUAAGUUGGGGGGAGGGAAAU
rnacentral:lncRNA from 1 species